rnacentral:rRNA from 1 species
GAUGAACGCUGGCGGCGUGCCUAAUACAUGCAAGUCGAGCGAACAGAUGAGGAGCUUGCUCCCCUGACGUUAGCGGCGGACGGGUGAGUAACACGUGGAUAACCUACCUAUAAGACUGGGAUAACUUCGGGAAACCGGAUCUAAUACCGGAUAAUAUAUUGAACCGCAUGGUUCAAUAGUGAAAGACGGUUUUGCUGUCACUUAUAGAUGGUUCCGCGUCGCAUUAGCUAGUUGGUAAGGUAACGGCUUACCAAGGCAACGAUGCGUAGCCGACCUGAGAGGGUGAUCGGCCACACUGGAACUGAGACACGGUCCAGACUCCUACGGGAGGCAGCAGUAGGGAAUCUUCGGCAAUGGGCGAAAGCCUGACGGAGCAACGCCGCGUGAGUGAUGAAGGCCUUCGGAUCGUAAAACUCUGUUAUUAGGGAAGAACAAAUGUGUAAGUAACUAUGCACGUCUUGACGGUACCUAAUCAGAAAGCCACGGCUAACUACGUG